UUUCACAAGCCAGAGCAGAUUAUAAUAUAUGGAACAUAGUUCAAAACCUCAAAAAUAAAUGAAUAAAUCUGUUAUAACGCCUGAUACUUUUUAAUCGAACUGUUUAAUACAUCGAUGGAUAUAUUUUCGUAUUUCUCAGAUCUCAGAAGACUUCAUGCCAUGCAGGCACAUGCUUGCACACAAGACUUUUUUUGCAAGUAAAGCUGAACAGCGCCAUAUCUAGCACGCUGGGAUACCUCAGGGACAUCUAGCAGUCCACAUGUGUUUAGAUUAUCCUGUAGAGAAUUCCAUGUACAACUGGAUCUAGAAGAUACAUGAUUUUCACGCACCAAAGAUCAUGAUCCUCUUCUGUGGAAUGAGCAUCUGUACAUGUUGGCUGGAUAAAUGUACAUACAACAGUAGCAACAACCUGCACUGCUUUAUUUCACUGUUGUAGCAGGGUGAGGUAGUAGGUUGUGUGGUUUAAGGGUAGUGAUUUUGCCCCAACAGGAGAUAACUAUACAACCUACUGCCUUCCUUGAGGAGCAGCACUGCAACAAGCUAACAUCAAAGAGAAGAAAUGCCUUCACCUCAAAGCAGAAUUAGUGUUACUGGAUAAUAAAUGGUACUAACUACAUCAGAUAACUUAUAAUUCAUAUCUUACUCUGUGUAUAUACUUCUGAAUGAUGAACCCAACUAAAUAUAUAGCAAGACAGAGAGAGCAUGAAUAUCUUAUACUAUUUAAUUCAUUUUAUAAAAUUAUUUGCACAGUACUGUUAUGCUACAUAGCACAGUAAAUAAUGUACACAAAUUUAUAUGUUCAAUGUUUUUUUUUUAAUAAAAAAAUAUUAGUAGUA